GGUACCCGUACCCGUUACCCGAACCCGAACCGAACCGUAAUAACCGAAAUGUGGGUUAAUUCGGGUAUCGGUCUUCGGUACGGUUCUUAUUUUCAGACUGUUCGGUCUUCGGGUAAGGGUUCGGUUACUAGUCUCGAAAACCCGAACAAACCAUAUUAACCGAAGUUUAUAUAAGCAACGUCUCACGCGAUCACUGGGUCACACCACACAUGCGGCUGCGCGGCCCAGGCCCAACUCACCUCUCCCCACCGCUCGUAUAAAGCCUCACACGGUCCCACCCUCACAGUCACACGAAACCCUCGACGGCUCGACCCCUCCUCCCUCUCGUCCUAACCCUAGUCCCCAGCGGCGGCGGCGGCGGCGGCGGCUGUGACGCAGGAGGCGGGAUGGCGCGUCGGCGCGUGAUGGCGUGAGGCACGUGGGCAGGUCAUGAUGCUGUAGCGAUGCGCCGAACUGCCGAAGGAGCCGCAGUUGCUGGAUCGAGUGGAGACGGAGACGCGCGAGCCACCGGCCGGAGUCAACGCACUGAGCACGGUCGACGGCAGCAACAUCAAGUGAUCAACGUGAGUGUGAUGGCAGAACAAAGUUCUCGUAUUUCGCAUUCAGACACCUCCCCUUACAACGCUUCGAACUUGGAGAAGGACAGUCAUGAUGGGCAACAGCUCCCCGACCAGCAGCAGAAGGAGACGACCGAGGCUGAGAAGAAUACAGAAAAUGCCAAGAAAAGGAAGGAAAUGGCUCCACGGUCGGAAGUUUGGAAUCAUUUUAGCAAGGAAGUAAAUGCCACGACAGUAACAUGCAACUAUUGCAAAAGUGAGCUUGCUUGUGGUUCUAAAAGGAAUGGUACAUCAUCCUUGUUGAAGCAUUUGACAACCUGCAAGAGAAAUCCUCAUAGCAACAAGGAUGACAAGCAACCAACUCUACAAGCUACUCCGAAUCAGGGGGAUGCUAGUAAGUGUUCACUCACUACCUGGAGAUUUGAUCAGGAUAAGCUUAGAGAUGCUUUGGCUGAAAUGGUAAUUGUGGAUGAGCUUCCGUUUGCAUUUGUUGAGAAGCCAGGAUUUAGAAGGUUUGUGGCAAAGGCUUGUCCUCGUUUCAAUGUCCCAUCCAGGAGGACGGUUACUAGAGAUUGUGUCCGCAUUCAUUAUAGGGAGAAAGUCAAGCUAAAGAAAUUCUUCAAAGAAUCUUGUGAAAGAGUUUGUGUAACUACCGACACAUGGACAUCUUCCCAAAAGCAGAAUUUUAUGUGUGUGACAGCCCAUUUUAUUGACAAUGACUGGGUUCUGCAUAAGUGGAUCAUUGGGUUUUUCUUGGUGAGGGGUCAUAAGGGGGAAGACAUUGGGAAGGACCUGGAGAAGUGUUUGGUUGAGUGGGGCAUAGAUAAGGUGUUUUCAGUAACAGUUGACAAUGCCUCACCAAAUGAUGGAGCAGUAAGCUACAUAAAGAGGAUCAUGAACAGUGCCAAUGCAAGCAUAGGGAGAGGAGAAUAUAUGCACAUGAGAUGUGCUGCUCACAUUCUGAACUUGAUAGUUACCAAUGGGCUAAAAGAGUUGGAUAUCUCGGUGAAGCGAGUCCGUGCUGCAGUCAAGUUUGUUAAGAAUUCUCCAGCUAGAAUUACUAAGUUCAAGAAGUGUGCUGAAUUAGAGAAGUUGGCAAAUAAAGGUUUCUUGUCACUUGAUGUAUGCACUAGAUGGAACUCCACAUUCUUAAUGCUGAAAGCUGCAGCCACAUAUGAGAAGGUGUUCGUGAGGUAUGAAGAAGAGGACCCAUACUUUGCAAUUGAGCUAAAUGGUGACAAAAUGCCAGGAGUGCCUCAACCAGAAGAUUGGGAUAAUGCUUCAAAGAUGGCAGAGUUUCUUGAGCAUUUCUAUAAGCUUACCCUUCGUGUUUCAGCCUCAAAUCAUUGCACAUCUCACAUCUUCUUCCAUCAAAUUGCUGAUAUCAUUGUCUUGCUGAGGGCUUGGUGUGGAAGUGGAGACCCUUUGCGGAGAGAGAUGGGAGAAAGGAUGCUGGACAAGUACAACAAGUAUUGGGCAGAUCACAAGAGCUUCAACAUCUUGAUCUUUGCGGCUGUUGCUCUUGAUCCAAGAUACAAGUUGUCAAAUUACAUCAAGAUUGCAACUUUUGAAAUGUUUGGGCAGAUCAAUGGAGAGGAAGUGUGGACAAAAAUGAAUACAACUCUUACAAAUCUGUUCCAAGAGUAUUUUAAGUUAUAUGGUCCAACUGAGCAAGAAGUGCAGCCUGAUGAUGCACCUAGCUUUGAAGAGGACAGCAACGAAAGCUUGAUGAGUUCCUUGAUUGCAAAGAGAAUGAGAAUGAAUGACUGUGGAAUCAGCAUUAGCCCUUCGAAGUCUGAACUUGAAAAGUAUCUUACAGAGGAUAAUGAAGCAAACAGCAGCAAAUUCAACAUUCUUGAGUGGUGGAAGGUCAACUCAUCUAGAUUCCCUGUGCUAUCACGUUUAGCUCGUGAUGUCCUAGCUUUCCCGAUAUCUACAGUCGCAUCAGAGUCAGCUUUUAGCACCGGUGGACGCAUUCUUGAUGAGUUCCGAAGCUCGCUCACUCCAUUCAUGGUGCAGGCACUAAUUUGUACUCAGGAUUGGUUGCGAAGAGAAAUUCCUGUUAACAAUGAAGAGAAUGAAGAGCUACUUGCCAACCUAGAGGAUGGUAAUUAUGCAAACAAGAUACUCUUAGAUAUGUGCUUUCCAUUUUGUUCAUACUUACAUUCUCUCGCUUACUCCAUUUAUUUCAGCGAUACUUCAAGAAUUGUCUGAUCUGAGCGUUGCUAAUGCUAAGUCCGGUACAAGUGCUGGUGUCCACAUCACCAUUGAUGACAUCGAAUCAUAAGUCUUGGGAAUAGCAGAAGAACAUCAAGUGUGCCGCCAGCCCGCCAACCUAAGGAACACUCUCAGCUCACUCUCAGCUCGCCCUCAAGGAUACUUCAUACUUGUUAAGCCCUUAAAAUAUUAGCUAUGGUUAUCUCAGCUUGGACCUAUUACUAGUGUCAUGUGUGUGUUUGUGACUGUUUGGACCUAUUCAGCUUGAACCAUGUUUAUUGUGUGUUUGGACGACUUGUGUUGUGCACUGGUGUGUUGGGAGCUAUCACCUAUGAGAGUAUGAGACAAUGAUGUGAGUCUAUUAUUGUCAAAUUUGAUGUCAUGUUGCUGAAUGCAUGAAUCUGUGCUUGUGUUGUC